rnacentral:rRNA from 1 species
CCAAAAAUGGUAACCCCUUUAAAGACCAUCUAUUGUGGUGCUAUUUUCUUAUAAUGACUUUUAUCAUGGACUUUUCCGAGUUUCCAGUUAAAAAUUUUUGUAAGUCAAGCAAUUGAGCACAUGAUUACAUCUUAUUAUGACUAAUAAAGUGCCAGCAGUCGCGGUCAUACUUUUAUAAAUAAGAAAACGUACAGAUUACUUUAACCUUUUAAACUUAUUAGUAGUAAAAUAUUAAUAACCUAUAUAAUUUAUUGUUACAUUAUUAAAAUAACUGAUGACAAACAGGGAUUAGAUACCCCUUUAUGCAGUAAGUACACUUAUAUCUGAAAAUUAGAAUUACAUAUUCAAAACUCAACCCACAUGGCGGUAGUUUAUAUUUAGGGGAACUUACUAGGUAAUUGAUAGCCACCAAGAUAAUUCACGUUAAAUAAAAUUUUGUAUACCGUCGUCGUGGAUAUACUAUAAUAGGAUAUCAAUAAAUAUUUAAUUUCAAGACAGAUCAAGGUGCAGACUAUUUUAACGCCUAAGCGAGUUACAGUAGAAAUUGUACUUCACAAGGUUUAUUUAACACACUCUAUUUGUGUCGGACUUAAAAGUAAUUUAUAUUAUACUUAAUAUGUGAAUAAUUUACAAACUGUGC